rnacentral:rRNA from 1 species
UACGGUAGGGGGCAAGCGUUGUCCGGAAUCAUUGGGCGUAAAGAGCGUGUAGGCGGUUCGGUAAGUCCGCUGUGAAAGUCCAGGGCUCAACCCUGGAAAGCCGGUGGAAACUGUCGAGCUAGAGUCCGGAAGAGGCGAGUGGAAUCCUGGUGUAGCGGUGAAAUGCGCAGAUAUCAGGAGGAACACCAUGGCGAAGGCAGCUCGCUGGGACGGUACUGAGCUGAGACGCGAAAGCGUGGGGAGCAAACAGG